UACAGAGGUCCCAAGCGUUGUUCGGAUUCACUGGGCGUAAAGGGUGCGUAGGUGGUGAGGUAAGUCGGAUGUGAAAGCUCGGAGCUCAACUCCGAAAUGGCAUUGGAAACUACCUUGCUCGAGGGUUGGAGGGGGGACUGGAAAUACUUGGGUGUAGCAGUGAAAUGCGUAGAUAUCAAGUGGAACACCAGUGGCGAAGGCGAGUCCCUGGACAACUCCUGACACUGAGGCACGAAAGCUAGGGAGCAAACAGG
rnacentral:rRNA from 1 species